UGGUCGCCUGCCAAUCGUAGUGCACAUACUGCAUAACCAAACUAUCAUUCACACUUCGGGGCAAUUUAGUCUUCAAUCAAGCGCCCAAGCAAGUUUUGAGGAUGUGAGAGCGGAAACCGGAAUACAAAGAAAGCCCACAGAGCUGCGGCGAGAACAGGCUACACAGUCUACACAGGCGAAGCCGGAUUUGAAUCAGGAUCUUCAGAAACGUGAGGCGGAGGUACAGGAGUCUAGUUGCCCUGAUUCAACCUUCGCGGGGAUGCAGUUGUUGGGUUUGUUUUUUUUCCGACCUGCUGUUGUCACAAAUGUGCAUUUUUCCCCCAGGAAGGUGGAUGUAUUUUCUCCCCCAGGAUAACUUUUUCCAAAAGUACACUGUUAAAUAAGAAUGACCACAACUUACUUCCACAUUGAAGCGCUCCUGCUCCACAUCUGCCGUAGUGGUGCCAAGGACCAGAGAGAAGCUGCUCAGUUUGUGCGAUCUUCCUACUGCCAGCUCUUGCCACCGCGAUGAGGAGGGUGAGCAUGAAGCCCACGGCCCAGACGCCUGCCACAGGGAGCACCACAGCCGUCACUACAUCUGU